UUGGGCACUCUAAAGUGACUGCCGGUGCAAGCCGGAGGAAGGUGGGGAUGACGUCAAAUCAUCAUGCCCCUUAUGACCUGGGCUACACACGUGCUACAAUGGAUAGUACAAAGGGUCGCGAAGCCGCGAGGUGGAGCUAAUCCCAUAAAACUAUUCUCAGUUCGGAUUGUAGGCUGCAACUCGCCUACAUGAAGCCGGAAUCGCUAGUAAUCGUGGAUCAGCAUGCCACGGUGAAUACGUUCCCGG
rnacentral:rRNA from 1 species